CUUCCAGGGGAUUUCGUGGUUCCUCAUUUGGCUGCGUAGCAAAGCAGAAUGCCUCUUUCCGAUUUCUGCUCCUGAUAGCAUGGCACACAGAUCAAAAGAAGCAGUGCUCCAAAUCACACCAAAACCUUCUGCCUCCAGCUGCGCAAGACCUGUCUGGAAAGUGCGUGAAUCCAGGUUUGCAGCCCAGAGACGACUAGAGGGCACCUCCCUGAGAUUCUGGAAAGGUUUACAAAUUAGACACACCUGUGAUCCUGGGACUUUUUAAGAUGGGGUUAAAUUCCAAUUGCCCUGUGAGAGAGACAGACUGUGAGCUCCGAAGCUUCUCCCAGUUGGGAGACUCGGUUCCUAGAAACAAAUGCCUCAUCCUUGUGUAUAGGACGUGACAGAUGAGCCUGGAGUCUCUCCAGCCAAUCAGAAGCAUAAGUAAGAAUGUCAAACAGAAUAUGGAAGAUGCCUGCUGAGUAGAACAUUGGCUGGAAUGGAGAGAAUCAAGAGAGAGAGCCCGAAAAAGCUGCAUUAACAAGAGAGUCAGCUUGUCCUCUGAAGUUUUGAAGCCAGGCACUGACUUCUCCUCUCUAGCUAUGGAAGUCCUAGCUGGCAUCUUCUUCCAGUACAAGGCUGUUUCGUCUACAGUGAAAACCUGUUGUUUAGGGUGGCCACCUUCAUUAAUAACCUCAGCUAGAUCUUCUGGAGAACUUGCUGCAGCUUCUGCAUCAGCACCUGCUGCUUCCCCUUCCACUUUGAUGUUAUGGAGACGGCUUCUUUCUGUCAAGCUCAUGAACCAUCCUCUGCUAGCUUCAAACUUUCCUUCUGCAGCUUCCUCACCUCUCUCAGCCUUCAUAAAAUUGAAGACAGUUAGGGUCUUGCUCUGGAUCAGGCUUUGGCUUGAGGUAAUGUUUGUGGCUGGUUUGAUCUUCCAUCCAGACAACUAAAACUUUCUCCGUAUCAGCAGUAAGGCUGUUUCACUUUCUUAUCGCUUGUGUGCUCACUGGAGUAGCACUUUCCAUUUCCUUCAAGGACUUUUCCUUUGCACUCACAACAUGGCUAACUGCUUGGCACAAGAGACCUAGCUUUCGGCCUAUCCCAGCUUCAAACGUGCC
rnacentral:lncRNA from 1 species